CUGUUGACACUGAUAUUUCUUUGAAGAAUUAUGGUCUGUAGAUUUCUCAAUUUGUCUAGUGAAAGAGCUUCCUCAAUUCUUGCAGCAACAUAUCUCAAAUGUACAAGCUCAGGUAUUACACUAGAGAAAUCUAACCAAACUGUUAAUACAUUCAACACCUUAAGCAACUUGAACUCCGAAAAAAUGAAACGAAUCCCUUCUGGAAAAUCGGUGUAAUGAAAAUAUUGCAUUGAAAUAAAGGUACGAGCUAUACCAUUGCUAUGCAUUGGAGGAUAAACUUGGUUUUGUUCAAGUUUAGAUAGAAGGAUCACUCGCCGUUGAUCAUCUAUAGCUACGAGAACAUUUCCAUUCACAACAUUUUCAGUAUGAGUUUCACUUAGGCAUAGUUGGCGAAGAAGAUCAUGAAUUUUGAAAGUUUUCAUCCUUUCAUUAGCCUUUAAUCUAUCAAUCAAAAUUAGACUUCUAUCAAUUAGCUCUUGUAGAUAUUCCUCUGCCACCACUUCUAACCUUUUAUUGUUUCUUGCCUUUACAAAUUGCUCAGCAAUCCAUAGCCUAAUCAACUUGGAAACAUGAAUCUCUGUCUUCUGGAAAAACUCCAACACAGAGAAAACAAGCCUUCAAAUAUUGGGGCAAGUAAUUAUAGCUAAGAGACAGAAUUGAUUGGCACCGUUCAGAUACCGUAACAAAGAAUGAGCUCAAAUUUUCCUCAACGUUCUUCCAAUUGUCAUGCGUUAAGUCCAUUUUUCCAAGAAGUCCAGCAACAACAACAAUCGAGAGAGGUAAUCCUUGACAUUGCUGUACAAUAUGCUUCCCUAUUUCUACAAGUAAAGGAGGACACUGAUCUUUUUUGAAUAAUUUUUCGGUGAAUAGAUUCCAACUAUCUUCUGGACUUAGAAAAGACUUACUAUGAGGCGGAAAAUCAGGAUAACUGACAUAAUCAGCAACAUACUUGAGCCGAGUGGUUAAUAGAAUUCGGCUUCUAUUGUCAUCAUUUGGAAAUGUUCUUUGCAUUUG